GGUCUUGUUGGAAAUACACUAUCAUGCUCAAUUUGGCAGCACAUAUACUAAAAUUGGAAUGAUACAAAGAAGAUUAGCAUGGCGCUUGUAAAAGGAUAACACAAAAAUUUGUGAAGUGUUCCAUAUUUUUC
rnacentral:snRNA from 1 species